CGGCGUGCCUAAUACAUGCAAGUCGAACGAGAAUUUUUUACACCGAGUGCUUGCACUCACCGUAAGAAAUUCGAGUGGCGGACGAGUGAGUAACACGUGGGUAACCUGCCCAAAAGAAGGGGAUAACAUUUGGAAACAAAUGCUAAUACCGUAUAACCAUGAUGACCGCAUGGCCAUUAUGUAAAAGGUGGUUUUGCUAUCGCUUUUGGAUGGACCCGCGGCGUAUUAACUAGUUGGUAGGGUAACGGCCUACCAAGGUGAUGAUACGUAGCCGAGUUGAGAGACUGAUCGGCCACAAUGGGACUGAGACACGGCCCAUACUCCUACGGGAGGCAGCAGUAGGGAAUCUUCCACAAUGGGCGCAAGCCUGAUGGAGCAACGCCGCGUGAAUGAAGAAGGUCUUCGGAUCGUAAAAUUCUGUUGUUAGAGAAGAAUAUGAGUAAUAGUAACUGAUUAUUCACUGACGGUAUCUAACCAGCAAGUCACGGCUAACUACGUGCCAGCCGCCGCGGUAAUUC
rnacentral:rRNA from 1 species